AGUGAACGCUGGCGGUAGGCCUAACACAUGCAAGUCGAACGGCAGCACAGUAAGAGCUUGCUCUUACGGGUUACGAUUGUCGGACGGGUGAGGAAUACAGCGAAAUCUACUUUUUCUUGGGUGUUAACGUGGGGAAACUUACGCUAAUACCGCUUACGACCUACGAGUGCAAGCAGGGGAUCUUCGCACCUUGCGCGACUGCAUGAGCCGAUGUCGGAUUAGCUAUUUAGCGGGGUAAAGGCCCACCAAGGCGACGAUCCGUAGCGGGUCUGAGAGGAUGGUCAGCCACACUGGAAGUGAGAGACGGUCGAGACUUCGACGGGGGGAAGCAGUGGGGAAUAUUGGACAAGGGGGGCAAGCCGGAUCCUGCAAUACCGCGGGGGUGAAGAAGGAGUGCGGGUGGGAAAGCCAUGUUGUAGCGAAAGAAAAGCAGCAGUUUCAUACCCCGCGGUUCUGACGGUACCUAAAGAAUAAGCACCGGCUAACUUCGUG
rnacentral:rRNA from 1 species